AGAGUUUGAUCCUGGCUCAGAUUGAACGCUGGCGGCAUGCCUUACACAUGCAAGUCGAACGGUAACGCGGGGGCAACCCUGGCGACGAGUGGCGAACGGGUGAGUAGCGCAUCGGAACGUGCCCAGUAGUGGGGGAUAGCUCGGCGAAAGCCGGAUUAAUACCGCAUACGACCCACGGGUGAAAGCGGGGGACCGCAAGGCCUCGCGCUAUUGGAGCGGCCGAUGCCCGAUUAGCUAGUUGGUGAGGUAAAGGCUCACCAAGGCGACGAUCGGUAGCUGGUCUGAAAGGACGACCAGCCACACUGGGACUGAGACACGGCCCAUACUCCUACGGGAGGCAGCAGUGGGGAAUUUUGGACAAUGGGGGAAACCCUGAUCCAGCCAUGCCGCGUGCGGGAAGAAGGCCUUCGGGUUGUAAACCGCUUUUGGCAGGAACGAAACGGCGCGCGCUAACACCGCGCGCUAAUGACGGUACCUGCAGAAUAAGCACCGGCUAACUACGUGCCAGCAGCCGCGGUAAUACGUAGGGUGCAAGCGUUAAUCGGAAUUACUGGGCGUAAAGCGUACGCAGGCGGCUAUGUAAGACAGGCGUGAAAUCCCCGGGCUCAACCUGGGAACUGCGCUUGUGACUGCAUAGCUAGAGUCCGUAAGAGAGGGGUGGAAUUCCACGUGUAGCAGUGAAAUGCGUAGAGAUGUGGAGGAACACCGAUGGCGAUGCAGCCCCCUGCGAUGAGACUAACGCUCAUGUACUACAGCGUGGAGAGCAAA
rnacentral:rRNA from 1 species